rnacentral:rRNA from 1 species
AGAGUUUGAUCCUGGCUCAGGAUGAACGCUAGCUACAGGCUUAACACAUGCAAGUCGAGGGGCAGCAUGAAGAUGUGCUUGCACAACUUUGAUGGCGACCGGCGCACGGGUGAGUAACGCGUAUCCAACCUUCCCUAUAGUAGAGAAUAGCCCGGCGAAAGUCGGAUUAAUGCUCUAUGUUCUUCUUUGAUGGCAUCUGACGAGAAGCAAAGGUUCACCGCUAUAGGAUGGGGAUGCGUCUGAUUAGCUUGUUGGCGGGGUAACGGCCCACCAAGGCUACGAUCAGUAGGGGUUCUGAGAGGAAGGUCCCCCACAUUGGUACUGAGCCAUGAUCAAACUC